GGGUCAACCGGCGUAAGACACUGUUUCCCCUCUAUUACCUUACCAACUUUAUGGGUAACUUACAAAGGACAAAGUGGGAAAAAUGAGUGUUACGCCGACAACCGGAGAUAACUCUUAGGAAUGUGAAAUCCGUCUAUUCUUUCAAGUUUACAAAAGAAAAUUUUAAAAAAAAUUACAAGAUACCUGAAACUUUCUCUUCAUUUGGUAGUCUCAAUGGGAGUUUCCAGUCUCAUAAUCCUUGCCAGGCUUCAAGGUUCUAGCUAGAAGAUAACAAUGCAAUGAAGGCUUUAUUUAAGAGUAUAAUUCCAAAAUUUACACCAUGUCAAAACAUUCAAUGCAAAUUUAACAGUAACUGAUAAUAAAUAUUUGUUUAUAAGUCUUCUGCUUACUAAAUUUUAACAUGUAAAACCUGGAAAUAUUUCACUGUGUAUGUAUGUACGUUUGAUCUUCAUGGACUAGACUGAAUCACAGUAUGCCCAAAAACCUUUUACACAUAUUCAAAUCGUUUCUUCUGUUUCAAUAUUGAAAUAUUAUACAACACAUCACAUGCACUAAAUUAUUAAACAAUAUUUGUGUGUUUAAAUACAUAUAACAAGGAACCACUCGCCACUUACCCCACUGGCCUGUGGCCAUGAUAUCUACACUUCUUCCAACAUUCCCUUUACUGCACUCCUAGCGAAACCAAGAUUUUUGGGAAAGAGAACAUGGUUUAUGUGAAGAAUUAGAGUCAAUCUUGGGCGUAAGUUGUGCAUUUCAUUACAUUUCACCAGUCUCUCUAAACAUUGCCGCUCCUUGAACUCCUAUUUUGCGCUUCUCGAUGAAGUCUCGCGAGAGGAUGAUAAAGGACGGUGUAAAGUUAUUUCGUGCCACACCAAGAAAAUGCGGUUUGUUUAUUCUUGAAAAUAAUUUGUGAUUAAUGUGAAUUUACGUUUUGUUUAUUUUACAAAAUGAAAAUAUAUUUUAGCGAAUAUUUUCUGACAAAUUAAUAUUCAAAGCUGAGUUGACAGUAAAAUAUAUUUUAUACACCGGGUACUAAUUGAUCGAAGAUCAGUCUUUUUGUACCACCUCUCGGAAGUUCGCGCGAGAGAAUGCUGCAUACACGGUGUAGGGGUAUUUUGUACACCUUUAAGAAAUAUCCCGACAUUUUCCCGAGAAUCUUGUUAAAAAAAACACGUAAGUUAUUAUCAGUGACAAACGACCCGCAUAUUAGAAAAAUAAAAUAUAAAUAUCCUUGAUCAACCAAUGCUACUAACAGAAAGUGUUACAGAAGAAAAUAUUUUCGAAGAACCACGAUGAUACAUUUAGGGCAAGAACAAUUUGCAUGGAAACCGUCCAAACACAAAUAUGGCGGAUUGUGAAGUUGUCACAUUGUGCUGUAAACAACGACUUUUCUUCGCAUCUACAAGCCUGUCACGAUGUCUUAUCUCUGGCAGUUAUGGGUGAAUAUACAGUGAAAUCAUACAGAUUUGGAUGAAGAUGUUAAAGAUAGUAAAGUCAAAGACAGUUUGAUGAACCAAAUGACACUGAUAAAGAAGAAGAUACAAAAAAAAGAUACUUCUAGC